rnacentral:lncRNA from 1 species
AUCAGAGCAUUUUGGGGUGGAAAUGGGAGCUUUUGGGGGGAAAUGAGAGCAUUUGGGGGGAAAUCAGAGCAUUUGGGGGGAAAUCAGGGCCUUUUGGGGGGAAAUUGUGGGAAAUUGGGCAAAGGAGUGAAACUUUUUGGGGAAAAAAGAGGAAAUCAGGAGCCGUUGGUGGGAUUUUUAUUUUCUUUUUUGGUGUAUUUUCUACAGAAAUGUACAAAAAUGGGAAUAAAGGAGAAAAAUGGGAACCUGGGGGGCACUGGGGUCAUUUGGGGUCAUUUGGGGUCACGUGGGGUCACAUGGGGUCACAUGGGGUCGUUUGGGGUUACAUUGGAAUCACUUGGGGUCACUUGGGGUCGUUUGGGGUCACAUGGGGUCAUUUGGGGUCACUUGGGGUUAUAUGGGGUCAUUUUGAGGUCAUCUUGAGGUCAUCUUGAGGUCACACUGGGGUCACAUUGGGGUCACACUUUGGGGUCACAGAUUGGGGUCACUUUGGGUCACGCAUUGGGGUCACAUUGGGGUCACACUGGGGUCACACAGGGGUCACUUCAGGUCACCCUUUGGGGUCACACAUUGGGGUCACACAGGGGUCACACAGGGGUCACACAGGGGUCACACACAGGGGUCACUUCAGGUCACAUCGGGGUCACCCAUUGGGGUCAACAUUGGGGUCACAGAUUGGGGUCACACCGGGGUCAACAUAGGGGUCACCCAUUGGGGUCACUUCAGGUCACAUUGGGGUCAACAUCGGGGUCACCCCUUGGGGUCACACUGGGGUCACACUGGGGUCACACUGGGGUCACACACAGGGGUCACUUCAGGUCACAUCGGGGUCACCCAUUGGGGUCCCAUUGGGGUCCUAUUGGGGUCAACUUUGGGGUCACGCAUUGGGGUCACACUUUGGGAUCACACUGGGGUCACACUGGGGUCACUUCAGGUCACAUCGGGGUCACCCAUUGGGGUCCCAUUUCGGUCCCAUUGGGGUCAACAUUGGGGUCACCCAUUGGGGUCCUAUUGGGGUCACAUUGGGGUCCUAUUGGGGUCACCCUUUGGGGUCACACAGGGGUCACACUGGGGUCACACAGGGGUCACACAGGGGUCACACACAGGGGUCACUUCAGGUCACAUCGGGGUCACCCAUUGGGGUCCCAUUGGGGUCACACUGGGGUCAACAUUGGGGUCCCAUUGGGGUCACACUGAGGUCAACAUUGGGGUCAACAUUGGGGUCAACAUUGGGGUCACACUUUGGGGUCCCAUUGGGGUCCUAUUGGGGUCAACUUUGGGGUCACCCAUUGGGGUCCUAUUGGGGUCACAUUGGGGUCCUAUUGGGGUCACCCUUUGGGGUCACACUGGGGUCACACAGGGGUCACACAGGGGUCACGCAGGGGUCA